GUCCACGCCGUAAACGAUGGGUGCUAGGUGUGGGGAGUGUCGACUCUCUCCGUGCCGAAGCUAACGCAUUAAGCACCCCGCCUGGGGAGUACGGCCGCAAGGCUAAAACUCAAAGGAAUUGACGGGGGCCCCGCACAAGCAGCGGAGCAUGUUCUUUAAUUCGACGCAACGCGAAGAACCUUACCAGGGCUUGACAUGCACGGGAAUGUCGUAGAGAUACGGCAGCCCUUCGGGGCUCGUGCACAGGUGUUGCAUGGCCGUCGU
rnacentral:rRNA from 1 species